CUAUGGGCAGAGCUUCUGGUGGAACGUGGGAAGAGAGACUAAAAGUAAGAACACAGUGAAAACUAAACUAUUAACUAGAACACAGCAGUGGCAGACGGAAAGGGCAAAGAUGUACUAACAGAUCAGAAAUAACAGAAAUUGUAUUAGGAGCUGUGUGCAUGUAGGGAGGGAAACUUGGGAGUGGGUCGGAAAUCCCUUCCCUGCAGUGCUGGUACAAUGCCCCUAUCCGAAUCCAACCACAGUGGACUAUCAGUAAACGUUAAGGCUGGCCAGCUAGGAAAAGUGGCACUGAAAGAGUGCUAUUAAGUGAAGAAAUGGUUAAUAGGAAUGGAAAAUAGGUUAGAAAGAGGAAAGAACAGAAGCUGACAGGCAGAUAGACAGAGAUUGCAAUAGUCCAGGAGAGAGUGAAGCUAAAACUGAACAGCAGAAGUGAAGAGGCAUGUGCAAGCUAGAAAGGCACAUCAGCGAGACAUUGUAAAGUACUGAAGGGUAUAAGGGAAAGCAUGUUCCAUCUCCCCACUGUAGUUUUGCUCCUGCACUACCAGAUGCUUUGAAAAACAUUCCAGUAGAACUUUAAUGAUAGAAAUGUUUUUUGAGUUGUCCAGUGUGAUAACCACUAGCCACGUGUGGCUUUUGAGCAUUUCAAAUUUGGCUAGGCAAUUAAGGAACUGAAUUUUGAAUUUUUAAAAAUUUUAGUUUUAACUAAUUUAAAGUUAAAUAACUACAUGUGGCUAGUGGCUACCAAACUGGACAACAAUGUAACAUAUCCCCUUACCUCCUAUUAACCAAAUUCAGUUCUUUCAUCUGCAUAUCCACUCUGCUUGAAGGUACUGAACCUUUUAAAACUUUGAAUUGCCUAGCCUCUGUGCAACUCCUCUCCCCUAUUUGUCAUCACAUACUGAUGACAUGUUUUCAGAGUUUUUUUACUAGCUUCCCUCCCUCUUUUCACAAUUAAAUGCAGGCACUCUUUCAGGUUUUGUUUCACCCUGUUCUCUUAUUUUAGCCUUUCCCUGUCUGCUUCUCCAGAGUUUUAGAGCUUUGUGAAUAAUUCUCAAAUCAUAUCAUCAACCCUGGCUUCCCUUUAGAAGGCAGUUUAGUUUAGUGAAAACAAUGAUGGGCAUUAGAGCUAAUGAACUGAAGUAGAAACUGCAAAAUAGAAUUUACCUUUUAGGAUUGGUAUAAUAGUUAACUGCCAUACAUAAAGUAGCUGUUAAACGAUUGUUCAUUCCUUUUCUACUCUUUUGUUCCUGAGUUACAGGCCCAAAUUUCCAACCACCUGCUGUCCACCCUUGCCUCCAUAUCCUUAGAAAAAAUGUGGAUACAUUUAAAAUUUCAGAUGCAAUCUUUUUUAUACAGGCUCUUAUCUUUUGCUGUUUCUCCCAGAGAAGAUGAUACCGUGAGGCAAUUUUCAGCUACUUAAGGUUCUGUUGUAUUUGUUAUGUAACUCCAGUAUCUUCCAUAGCCUUAUAAUAAUAAAAUUAUAAUAAGUGUUGAAUUAAAAAGAAAUUUAAUUUUAUGAUAGAAUUCAUUUUCACCUGUACCAAAAGCUUUACAUGUUGAUCUGUAUAAUUUUUUAAAGGUAUUAAAUGCUGACCUAAUGACUCUUUCCUUAGUAAAAGCCUGUUCUCAGCUUCACGAUACAUGAGUUCUGCAUGUCACUAGAGCAGGGGUUAGCAAAAUUUUUCCAUAAAGGAACAGAUAAUAAAUAUUUUCAGCUUGGCGGCCACAUAUGGUCUCUGGUCAUGGUUUUUUGUUUUGUUUUGUUUUUUUUAACAACCUUUAAAAAUGUAAGAACCUUUCUUAACUCCCUGGCUUAUCCCAGCAGGAUCUGGCUCAUGUGCUGUAGUUUGCUGACCCCUGGACCCUCUUCCUGGACUCUUUAAUCCUGAGCACAGUCUCAAGGUGUCUGAUCAUCAUCUUUAAUGAAUGAACAAUGAUCAAGAAAGGUCACCUUGGGGAUGAUAUGUGUAAGAUGCUAUUCUGCGAUACUUUAUGGGGAAGAAAUAUGAAUGAGGACCAAUUUUCUGUUUAGAAUAUGACACUAUAUUGUAUUUUAAAAACUACAAACACACAUAAAAAAUGUUUUCGAAUAUCCUGACACUCAGAUAAAAGUAGUCUUGCAUGGAACACAGUCUCUGCAGUGACAACAUAGUUCCAGGCGAUGGCAUCAGGCUGCAUGCAGCCCACCAAGCGUGGGAUACCCUUGACCCAUAAAAUGCUAGUUUCCUAAAAUAAAUCUAAAAGCCUUAAUGAGCACCCAAAGGACUGCACUACAAGUGAUAGGGCUCGGGUCUUUGCUCUUGCUCUAGGAUUUAAAAUCCCAAUAGCUAAAUCUAAUGAAACUUGUAAAGUGCAGAGUCUAGGAUAAAAGUCAAGCCUCAGAACUGGGAGAAUUCUGUAUUUAGCUCAUUUGAAGUAAAGAUUUGAAGACUAUAGAUCUCAUGUGCUCUCUCUCAGUCCCCUUUCAGAAUAUGCUUCAACAUAUCAUUUGACUUUGGAUAUUACAUAACCUAGAACACAAACCUUUUUGUGAAUAAGGACUAAUAGGGCUUUCAAUUGAAUUUGCUGUUAAAUUCAUGGCCUAGCUAUCAGUGGGGAGCUGGCUAUUUUUUAUCACAAACACACAGAAAAUAUUUUGACAAAUAUGAAAGAGAAUCUUUAAAUAAACAGACCUCACACUGUUUAAUGUUUAUGAAGGUUUUUUUGCUUUUUUUUUUACAUGAGAAUAUCUAACGCUAACUUUAGAAACUGUCUUGGGAGAAGAAACAGAAAAAACCAUCUGUGGAUAAUUAAACAACUUUUGUCCAUGAAGCAUGAUAUUCAACCAGCAAGUUGGCCUGAAGUAGGUCCCUUUCCUCUCUUCCUUAUAGUCCUCAUUUUUAAAUGUGAAGGUGUCCUUGAAAGAUUCCAAGUGGCUCCUAAUCAAACUGCCACUUAUGGUAUUGGAAACCCUAAUUAUUUUAUCUCCCUAUGAGGACAUUGGCCUGUUCAUUUUUUGUUUUACAUCUUUACAGCUAUUAAAUAUUUCACAAACACUUAUUGAGCAUCUAACAUGCACCAGGCAGAUGGUUACCAGGGAUAUGACAAUGAAAAACCCAAACAGCAAAAAUGUCCACUGCCCUGAAAUUGACAUUCUAUGGGGGGAAAAUAAAUAAAGGUAAGCAGGCAAGUGAUAAACUCAGUAGAGAAAUUCAAAACAGGAAAGGAAGCAUAAUGCCUUCAGUCUAGUAAGAGGUGGCAAUAGAAACCCUCACUGAAAAGGUCACAUUUAACCAAAGUUCUGAAGGAGAUAAGGAAGUGAGGCAUGUGGAAAUUUGGGACUAGAACACGAUAGUAAAAGGCAACUGCAAAUGCAAAUGACCUGAGGAAGGAGCAAGUGUGUUUAUGUUCCAGGAAUGCCUAAAAAAGCCCAGUAGGAGUGGAGUGGAAUGAGCAAGGAGAUCAGUAGAAAGUGAGGUUAGAGAGGUAAGAGGAGAGCUGAGAGUUCUAAGUCUUGUAGGUCACAAUGUGGAUGUUGUCUUUUGCUCCCAGUGAGAUGGGGAGCCAUGGGAGGACUUUGGGCAGAACGUGUAAGAUGAUCUGCCUCUCCGUGUCUGCUUUGUUGAGACAGAGGCAGAUCAAUGAGAGGAUUAUUUAUAAGAACCCAGGCAAGUGGUGAUCAUGGCUGCGCCAAGGCUGUGGCAGUGUCACUAGCAAGUGGUCAGAUUCUGGAUAUAUCUGAAAGUAUUGCCAAUGGGAUUCACUGCUGGAUUGGAUGUGGAUGUAAAAGAAAGAAAGAAGCUAUAGAUGAUUUCAAUUUAUUUUGAACAGUAAAUCAUUUGAAAGAGAUGUCAGGAAUUGGAAAGAUGAUAGAAUACAGACUGAAAUCAGGCAGCCUGGUUUUGAAGUCCAGCUCUGCCCCAGGGUGUUUAAUACUUCUCUCCAUUUUUCACUGUAAGAUGGGAUAAUAUUGCUAUUCACCUCUUAUUAGUUUUUGAGGAUUAUGCAAUAUUCAUAAAGUUCUCAAACUACUACCUGGCACAUAGUAAGACCUAUAUAAAUGUUUGCUAUUGCUAUUGUUUUUAUGUUGAGAAAGACUGUGGGGGCCAGGUUUGGGGGAAGAUGUUUGGGAUUUAAAUUUGGGACAUGUUAAAUUUGAGGCUAGUUUUAGAUUUCUAUCAGCAGUCCAACUGUAGAAGUUUGGGUCAGUUUCAUAUAUAUAUAUAUAUAUGUAUGUGUGUAGUUAUGUAUAUAUAUCCUCAGAUACCUACAUGAAUCUAAAGUUUAAAUUAAAAUGUCGUAAAUGUAUAGGUGGUGCUUAAAGCUUAAUACUGGAUGAGAUCAGCAAGAAUGGAGAUGAAUUCGAAGCAUAUAGGCCUGGAGCACUCCAGCAUUAAGGGAAGGGAGACAUAAGACUGUUCUAGAAACCAAAUGAAUCAUUUUAAGGACGAAGGAGUGAUCAACUCAAUUAAAUCUCUAGUUCAUCAAGCAAGAAAAAGACAGAAUUUACUACUGGAUUUAGCUAUGUGAAGGUCAUCAAUCAAGAACUUUUUGAUAGUGUGGUAGGGGUGAGAGUUUGAUAGGAGUGCAUGGGAGAAAAAGGAAAAGAAGAAUUGGAGAUAACCAAUGUAUAAAGUUGAGUAAAAAAGUUUUGCUGUGAAAAGCAAUAAAGAAGUAUGGUGGCAACUGAAAGAGAAAGUGAGAACAAGAGACAUUAUAUUAAUAGGGGAAAUCAGAGCAUAUUUGUGUCCUGAUAGGACUGAUACAGUAGAAAGGAGAAAACUAAAGAUAGGUGAGGAGAGACAAAGAUAAAUCAUUUCCAUCCCACCACUGCAACUGGAGAGAAAGGAGAGCUGAUCCAGGAGAAACCUCAGCGUGAUCUGGGGUGCUCAAGGCUGGGAAUCCCCACACUACCUAGAAGUGUCAAGAAAUGAGGGAACUGAGGCUCUUUGUGGAUCAACUGCUCUGGAGAUUUUACCUGAGAUCCAGCAGACCUAAGAACCCGAGUGCUUCCUCUAAGGACCACCCACUUUACACCCACCCCAUUCCAAGCCUGUCUUAUUGAAGAAUGAACAGCAGUGGUAAAAAAGGGACUGAAUCUCAGACUCGCCUCUUUUCACCUGAAAGAAAAUAAUAUGCACAGAGUUCCUUGAAUGGGAAGGAUGAUGGCUGAAAUGGACUGAUGUGUUUAUGUAAAACUGGGACAUAAUUUUGCUCUGUAACUCAUUAGUCUGCAAACACUGACAAAUGUAAAGUUCAUGACACCU